GAUUUCUGGCCGUGCGGACUAGGUCCGUCGUCUUCAUGGCGGCGAGUAUCUGGUGUUGCCGGUCAUCCUUCCUGUGAGUUCUCUCUGGCCCUUCAUCGGGUUAGGGAAGCAAGCAGGAUCUAUUACUUUGAAAAAAUUAGAGUGUUUAAAGCAGGCGUUUGCUCUGAAUACAUUAGCAUGGAAUAAUAAUCUAGGACUUUUGUCCCUAGUUUGUUGGUUCUAGGACGAAAGUAAUGAUUGAUAGGGAUAGUUGGGGGUGCUAGUAUUCAGUGGCCAGAGGUGAAAUUCUUGGAUUCACUGAAGACUAACUUAUGCGAAAGCAUU
rnacentral:rRNA from 1 species